AGUUCCUGUCUGCGCUGAUGCUGAAGGACUACGAGGCAGCGCUCAAGUACUGCAAGCUCAUUCUGCAGUAUGAGCCAAACAACGCGGCCGCCAAAGAGUUCUACCCGCUGAUCGUCGAGAAGAUCCAGCUCAUGGAAGCCGCGAGCCUGGACAGCAGCAACGGGAACAGCGGCGAAGGCGAGGACGACGACAACG